rnacentral:rRNA from 1 species
ACGGUCCAGACUCCUACGGGAGGCAGCAGUAGGGAAUCUUCGGCAAUGGACGCAAGUCUGACCGAGCAACGCCGCGUGAGUGAAGAAGGUUUUCGGAUCGUAAAACUCUGUUGUUAGAGAAGAACAAGGAUGAGAGUAAAAUGUUCAUCCCUUAACGGUAUCUAACCAGAAAGCCACGGCUAACUACGUGCCAGCAGCCGCGGUAA